ACGGGGACUCUAGAGAUUUACGGCCUUGUUACGACUUAACCCCAGUCACUAGUUUUACCCUAGGCCGCUCCUCUCGGUAACAGACUUCAGGCACCCCCAGCUUCCAUGGUUUGACGGGCGGUGUGUACAAGGCCCGGGAACGUAUUCACCGCGCCAUGGCUGAUGCGCGAUUACUAGCGAAUCCAGCUUCACGGAGUCGAGUUGCAGACUCCGAUCCGAACUGAGACCAGUUUUAGAGAUUAGCAUCCUGUCGCCAGGUAGCUGCCCUUUGUACUGACCAUUGUAACACGUGUGUAGCCCUGGACAUAAGGGCCGUGCUGAUUUGACGUCAUCCCCACCUUCCUCUCACCUUACGGUGGCAGUCUCUCUAGAGUCCUCAGCUUGACCUGUUAGCAACUAAAGAUAAGGGUUGCGCUCGUUAUGGGACUUAACCCGACACCUCACGGCACGAGCUGACGACAACCAUGCAGCACCUUGUACGUCGUCCGAAGAAAAGUCUAUCUCUAGACCGAUCGCCGUACAUUUAAGCCCAGGUAAGGUUCCUCGCGUAUCAUCGAAUUAAACCACAUGUUCCUCCGCUUGUGCGGGCCCCCGUCAAUUCCUUUGAGUUUCACUCUUGCGAGCGUACUCCCCAGGUGGAUUACUUAAAACUUGCGCUUAGCCACUGACUGUGUAUCGCCAACAGCGAGUAAUCAUCGUUUACGGCGUGGACUACCAGGGUAUCUAAUCCUGUUCGCUCCCCACGCUUUCGUACAUCAGCGUCAGUUAUACCUUAGUAAGCUGCCUUCGCAAUCGGUGUUCUGAGUAAUAUCUAAGCAUUUCACCGCUACACUACUCAUUCCGCCUACCUCAAGUAUACUCAAGUAAUACAGUUUCAAUGGCAGUUCUACAGUUGAGCUGCAGGAUUUCACCACUGACUUAUAUUACCGCCUACGUACCCUUUAAACCCAAUAAAUCCGGAUAACGCUUACACCCUCCGUAUUACCGCGGCUGCUGGCACGGAGUUAGCCGGUGUUUAUUCAUAUGCUACCUUCAGCUACUUUCACGAAAGUAGGUUUAUUUGCAUAUAAAAGAAGUUUACAACCCAUAGGGCAGUCAUCCUUCACGCGGGAUGGCUGGUUCAGACUUGCGUCCAUUGACCAAUAUUCCUCACUGCUGCCUCCCGUAGGAGUCUGGUCCGUGUCUCAGUACCAGUGUGGGGGAUCAUCCUCUCAGAACCCCUAGACAUCGUCGCCUUGGUAAGCCGUUACCUUACCAACUAGCUAAUGUCACGCAUGUUCAUCUUGUACCGCCGGAGCUUUAAUUACCAAAUCAUGCGAUCCAGUAAUACUAUGAGGUAUUAAUCCAAAUUUCUCUGGGCUAUCCCUCUGUACAAGGCAGAUUACAUACGCGUUACUCACCCGUGCGCCGGUCGUCGUCUAGCAGCAAGCUACUUCCGUUACCCCUCGACUUGCAUGUGUUAGGCCUCCCGCUAGCGUUCAUCCUGAGCCAGGAUCAAACUCUAAUCGUCGACUGCAGCAUGCA
rnacentral:rRNA from 1 species